rnacentral:rRNA from 1 species
UACGUAGGGUGCAAGCGUUGUCCGGAAUUAUUGGGCGUAAAGAGCUCGUAGGCGGUCUGUCGCGUCGGAUGUGAAAACCCAGGGCUCAACCCUGGGCCUGCAUUCGAUACGGGCAGACUAGAGUUCGGUAGGGGAGACUGGAAUUCCUGGUGUAGCGGUGAAAUGCGCAGAUAUCAGGAGGAACACCGGUGGCGAAGGCGGGUCUCUGGGCCGAAACUGAUGCUGAGGAGCGAAAGCGUGGGGAGCAAACAGG